UACGGGCCUUUUUAGCAUUAGCAUAUAUUGGCAUCCAUCUGCUCUGGAAGUAGCAAGAUGAUAUGAAGGCAACAACAAGGUAUUGCCCCCAGUUAUGGGAACCAGAAGCAGGAAAACAAAUGAAAAAUGAUUUGCUAAACCUGAAGACGCCGUGGCUUGUUUUUCCUUGUCCCGCCAUGAUAAAUAUCUCAUCUCAGCAUCUGGAGAUUUAGUUUCCGGGUUCAGCAUGAAAACCUUUGAGGUAUUCUAACAAAACAAACCAACGGAUGCUUGGAAGUUCUUUAACCGUCCUCUGGUUAAUAUGAGUGAUAUUAAUUAAAUGUAAUAACACAAUUGAAUCGAGUGUUCUUUAUUGUUGCAUUCAAAGAUACCUUAUUUUGUUUGGGUUAGACUGACCACUCCCAAAUGUUUGAUAAAAAUCACAGAAUUUAGAAUCUUCCAUGGGUCCACCACCUGCUGCAACAUGUCUGUUUCCACCCUCAAGACAAGUUUCCCAUUUUUAUCGGCAGGGAUGAUUCCAAAAUUCUGAUACAUACACGCCGAAAGGAGGUAUGAUAUAUAAGCAAGCUGUGAUAUUAUUGUUGAAGAGAAAAUCUAGAAUGCCAGUUUCGAAUAGGGAAGAAAAAAAAAAAGCAACAAAAAAAGUACUUUAUUUUUUGUAGGAUGAAAGCGAGAUUGCAGGUGUUCACUCCUGAAGAAUCACUGGCCUAACCUUUUCCACUAAGCUGAAUGCACUUAUUUCUUCCGCAGCAGAUGCUGAGAUUACAGCCUGGAAGCUCAGAAAUUCUAGAGUUGUACUGAAGGGUAGCUUGGAGUUUCCAGGUGAGAACAGUUUCACAAAGAUCAGCUACACUUUCUCGCUGUAAAUGAAAGGCGAUUCGCCAUAUGUAAAAUAACAGAGCUAAAGUGGAGAUCAAUGGCAUUUUCAUUACAGAGAACAUGAUUUAAACAUCUAUAUUGCAUGACAUGUAAACUGUUUUGUGGUGGACUUGGCUCAAUUCCUAUCAUUUUUAUUUUCAAGUUGACCUAGUAAUGGGGCUUGGGAAUAUAGGGGGUUUUCCGGGAGAGGUACCAGUUUCUAGAUUAUCUGAUGCUUUUUUGUUUCAUGUGAUGCCCUGUUGGUGUACAUUGCCCUUCGGCAUGGACAUGUUAGCAUAUGUUCUGCUCCAGGCCUCCAACCACAACAUGAAAUUUAUCGCAGUGCUUAUCUUUCAUCCGAUGCCAGUUUGCAAGCAGUUGUGAUUGCUUCACAUCCACAGGAACCUAACCAGUUUGCAUUAGGAUUCACAGAUGGCAGGGUUAUUGUGGUUGAGCCACUUGAUGAAGAAGAAGUUGGUUCUCGUUAGAUCUUUUACUGUCAGUUUUAUGUAGAAAGAAAGAUUAUAUGUAGAGUUUAUUAUACUGGCAUAGGCCAAAAUAUUUGUGACCCUAAUAUAUGUAUGUCGAAUUUUGUGGUAUUCUAUACUAAUGUUCUGAUCAAUUGUCUGUUCA